rfam:Marivirga sericea strain DSM 4125 genome assembly, contig: LX91DRAFT_scaffold00001.1
GUGGUGAAAUCCGAAAAGCCAAUACAAUAGAGUAGGAA